UAUUUUAUAUGGCUUGUGUAUUUUGUGAACCAGAUAGACAUAUAUUGUUUCACCGUAUGAGUUAGAAUAGGGGCUUGUGCUUAAAUUCAGUAUGAUUGCAAUUUCACAUAGACAUAUAGUGAUUUUGGUUAUAUUGAUGAUUACAUGGAGUCUAUCACUUGUGGAUGUUGUGUAAGUAGGUCAUAGUACAUUGAAAAAUGGCUAUGACUCUAUUAGUGCUCUUGACUACUUUCC
rnacentral:lncRNA from 1 species